GGUCCCUCCCCACACGCCCGCUGUCCACGCGCUGCGGCCUUGGAGUAACUGCUGUUCUUAAAGGCUGCCUCCGUCCUGCCGCGCGGCCUUUAGAGGGUUGGAGCUGGCAGAACCGUAACUCCCUCUCUGAGGGUGAAUACGGGCCUUGAUUGCCAGAAGGGCCCUCGGCCGGGGACGCGGGAUGAUGCGGGGCCGGGAGAUGCUUUCCUGGAGGCUGAGAAACCUGGAGGGAGACCCCCAAAACUUCUCAGUUCGCCGACCCCUUGGUCCCAGAGGGAGAGGAGCAUCCCCAAAGAACAUUCAAGUCUGAGCCUCAAGGAGCCUCUGCGACUCGGUGUCUAGAUCCAGGAAAUGGAGAAUGAGCCGUGACUUUGGAUGCUUCACUCUUGUCCAUCAGGCUCGGAAUUGGUGAGCAUCUCCCACAUUACCGUCUCCAACGGAACAAGGUGCCCCAUUGGACAUUUCCUCUGCAUGGACCAGCCAUUCUCCAAAUCUGCCCCCAUGUCACCCCAGCUCCCCAUCGCAGUCACUUCUCACUCCUUGUCCCCUGUCCCCCUGAGUGACAGGACUUUUGCCAGUUAGGUCCUGUCCCUGUUUCUGAUCUUGGGUCCAUUCCCCAUGGUCCCUUUCUUGCUUGUGCCUUGGGAUCUCAGGCCUGUUGAAGUAGGAGGCAGGACUCAACUUCAGACCAGAUUGAAGACUGGCUGACACAGAAGAGGCACCAAAAGCACCUCUCUCUCCAUAAGACAUGCCCACCAGUGCCAUGACAGUUUACCAUUGCUAUGGCAAUGCCCAGAAGUUCUCACCCCUUUUCCAGACAUUUCUGCAUAAUCUACCCCUCAAUUGGCAUGUGAUCAAAAGUGGGUGUCAAAAUGACUGUGGAACUGUCCCUGAGCUGCUACUCUUGACAUGCUGGUUACAGGGUAGCCCGGCUCUGCAGGGACAGUCACGGAGCUGAAAAACUGCUGCCUAAUGAAGCUGUUUUCUUCUA
rnacentral:lncRNA from 1 species